UCCGGGCGUCGGCCUGUGGG
rnacentral:sRNA from 1 species